rnacentral:rRNA from 1 species
CACGUAAGUUGCGAGCGUUGUUCGGAAUUAUUGGGCGUAAAGGGCAUGUAGGCGGUUCUGCAAGUCUGGUGUGAAAUUCCGGGGCUUAACCCCGGAACUGCGUUGGAAACUGCGGAACUGGAGUCACUGAGGUGCAGGCAGAAUUCCAGGUGUAGGGGUGAAAUCUGUAGAUAUCUGGAAGAAUACCAAUGGCGAAGGCAGCCUGCAAGCAGAUGACUGACGCUGAGGUGCGAAGGUGCGGGGAG